CGGGGUGGGCUUAACCCCUGCUGUCGCCGGGCUCCCGCCAAUCCCCCAACUCCGAGCCCGCUCGCCCACGGCCCCGCAGAGUCUCCCGGCUGCAGAGCAGCCCGCGGAAGGCGUCCCGCACUGCCUGCAUCUCCCGUCCGCACCGCCUGCAUCUCCCGUCCGCACCGCCUGCAUCUCCCUCCCCGCAGCACUCACCGCACACGUGUGCCAGAAGCUCGCAGAGUUCCGCCACCUCCCGCCGCUUCCGCUUCCGUGUUUGGUCCCGCCCCAGGUCCUCUGAUUGUAUUCUUCCGCCACGGCGCUUGGGGUCAAGGGGUGGAGCUUAGGAGGAAACGCGAGGUCCCCGGUUUCUAUUGGUCACCCUCGCCGCACUGCCAAAGCUGGUCUGCGCGGCUUUUGGCCCUUGAAGGGAUCCGUCUGGUGAAGACGAGACAGUGGCGCCGGAAAGUGACGCUAGAGCCUGCCGAGUCUGGGAAAGACUCCGCUUCUCGCGAGGACCGCCCCGUUAACUCUGCAAUCCCGGGCUACGUUCCGUUAGCUCUCCUAGACCUUUAUCCAGCAGCUGGUGGAAGUAGAAGCAGACACCCACAGCUAAACACUGAACUGAACUGGAAUCCAGUUGCAGAGAAGAACGAGUGAUGAGCAAAGGGGUCCAGACCAGGCUGGUGAAACCCACAGAAACACCUGAUCUGAACAAGGGAGAGCUCUUGGUCCCCAGACUGAUAGCUGGGAAACCAGCAUGGGACUGAUCCAGACCCCAGGAAUGUGGUUGUCAGUGAGGAGAUCUGGGAAAUCUAUGGGGCCCCUUGUAGUAGAUCAGUACUUAUCCCUAGCAUAGGAAUGGACUUUGGGAGCCCAUCCCACAUAGAGGAAUACUCCCUGAGCCUAAACACACAGGAUGGGCCUAGGCCCUAUCCCAAAGGAUAUGGCAGAUUCGGAAGACCCCCCCCCUAUGGAAGGCCUCACCCUCCCUGGGGACCAGAAAGGGUAUGGCAUAGGUAGGGUGUUAGUUGGGGGGGGAGGGGAGGAGGGGAG
rnacentral:lncRNA from 1 species